UUCCAAUUUUACCCUUACCACUUCAACGCAUCUACAACUAUGCCAUUAUCUUUUCAUUCCUUCCAAUUUUACCCCUCAUAUCAAUUUUAAAUGACUAUUCUAUCCUUUUUAAUAAAAAAAAUAUUUUGGGGUUAUUACAUCCUCCCCCCCUUAUAUAAAAUUCGUCCUCGAAUUUAAAAGAGUAAAUCACCUGAUUACUCAAAGGGGUGAGUGUAUCUGCUUUUCAUAUUCUGCUCGGUGUGGUAUUGGAAAUCAAAUCAAUUAGAAGUGUUUUACCUUCUAUCUCUACCACACAAGUAGGAAACACAUACUUCGCUUUUAUACUAUCCCCUACAGAUGUACUAAUAGCUAAGGGAAUAUGCAUUAAUAUCUUAUCCUUAGCUAACUUCCUACCUCCCCUUGAUCAUUAACCCUCCGUCUAUCAGCAGGAGGAGAUUUUUCUCUUUGGGGCUCGACAUGUGCGGAACCCGCAUCCAAUGCUAUAUCUGGCUCCAUCCUCCUUCCAGGACGACCAGGUCCAAUCCUUGGAGGUAUUUUUUUAUAUGUCUCUAAAAGAAUCAAGAGAGAUGGUAGUUAUUACACACUGAGUCAUAAUAUAUUUUACUGAAUUAUAAAUGACUCAUAAAUUAACAUACAGAAAAAUCCUAUGCUCCAUAGUAUAAUCCUAUACUUAAUCCUGACUCACCCUAUUGCUCUGACAGGACUCUUCUUAACCUUUGCUCUGAUACCAAGCUUUGUC
rnacentral:lncRNA from 1 species